rnacentral:lncRNA from 1 species
UAUUUGUCCUCGUCCCUGCCAGUCUCGAAAAGGCACUCUGUCACGUGUACACAGGAAAGGGCCCUGACAAGAGGAUGGGACUGCAGUUGUGGCUGCCAGGGCCCCGGCCAGGGUGAAAACAAGGAACAUUCCAGAGAAGAUCACAAGGAUGCGAAUAAAAUCGGAGCUGCACAGGGAUCUUUGGGCUGAGCUUUCUGUCUGGCUUCCCUCCUGGCCCCUCGUGUAUGCAUUCUCUCUAGCGGUGGGGAUUAAGGAGAAAACUCACGUGGCCAGUGGGUAGAGAGAGUCCGGGCAGGCAGCUGCCUGAAGUCAGCCAGAGUCUGCAUGUGCCCAGCUGUCCUGGCCUCCAGCAUCUCUGGAAAAACAGAGACAGAAUGAGUAGCAGCAGGGGACCCCAUAGGGCACAUCUGAAGGCCUGAGAGGUUGGAGUGCAGUGGCACGAUCUCGGCUCAGUGCAACCUCCGCCUCCUGAGUUCAAGUGAUUCUCCUGCCUCAGCCUCCCUAGUAGCUGGGAUUACAGGACAAGGAGAGGGACAAAUUCCUUCUUGGCAUCCUUAUGGCCCUGUGACCUGCUAAUGAAUGCUGACUCUGAGUUGCUACUAGAAUUUGGUUUCCUUGUGGCUUCCCAGGAAUUGUGAGCCAUGUUGGAUAAGGACCUGCAAGGGAAGAAUGAGGAAGCCUGGGACAGUGCAGGAGGGGAGAGCACUGGUGGUAGAGAGGAGUGAUGACAAGGGUCUCCGCCAAAAGGGAAAUGGAGGGGUUAAAGAAGCUGCUGGGGAGGGUUAAAAACAAUGUGUUCUCACUCGUAGGUGGGAAUUGAACAAUGAGAACACUUGGACACAGGAAGGGGAACAUCACACACUGGGGCCUGUCGUGGGGUGUGGGGAGGGAGGAGGGAUAGCAUUAGGAGAUAUACCUAAUGUAAAUGAUGAGUUAAUGGGUGCAGCACACCAACAUGGCACAUGUAUACCUAUGUAACAAACCUGCACAUUGUGUACAUGUACCCUAGAACUUAAAGUAUAAUUAAAAAACAAAACAAAACAAAACAAAAACAAUGAGGUGCUAUUGUUUUAGUGGUGAGUAUCCGGAGACCUGGGAGUUCUAUUUACCAGGUAUAACCUGGGCUCAAAAUUCCAGGCUGACUUCAGGCAUGUCCUCAUCUCAUAGAUGCCAGCACUAAGGCCCAGAGAGGGCCGAGCUCAUUCAGCCCACCCAUCUUCUCACCCCUGACUGCAUUUCCCGGGGGUCCUUCUGCAGCCAGGUGCUGCUGUGGUACUUUGGGAUCUAUUGGCUGAGCUCCCAGAGAAGGGUCAUGGAUUGGGCUAGUUUGGAACAAGUGAAGGGACUGAAGAUGGGCUCAGUAUGGGGCGAAGACCUUCAGGAAGGGUCUGCAGAGUGAGUAGGGGGGUUUUGACUAGGAAAAGUUCCAACCCUGCCGGGGCCGCUGUCAAGAGAAAAGCAUCUAUUACAGUUACAUUUUUAAGUUAAGUAGACUGAAGAAUAUUUCUUGUGUAUUAAAGACGUUCCUUUUUGGUUGAUUUGCAAUGGAAAAGCUUUUGUUUUCUUUUUUUUUUUGGAAACAGGGUCUCACUCUGCUCACUCUGUCUCCCAAGCUGGAGUGCAGUGGUACAGUCACGGCUCACUGCAGCCUCCACUUCCUGGACUCAAGUGAUCUUCUCACUUCAGCCUUCUGAGUAGCUGGGACUACAGCCCCCUCUGCAGCUCUUCAUGGGGGUCCACUCAAGUCAGAAGCCACAUUUGGGUGUGAUUCAGAGAGCUGUUUAUGCAAAACCAGCUUUGUCACCAUCAGGCAAGGCACCUGAAUUCCCACCGCAGAGAGUGUUGUGGCCGUGAGGACUUUUCUGUCACCAGCCAUUUCCAGGUAGACCCAGUGUAAUCACAAGCAUCCUUGUAAGUGGCAAAGAGGCAGAGGAGACAGCGCCAGAGAGGCAGCUGCAUGAGAAGGAUCAAGAUGUUGCUGACUUUGAAGUUGGAAGAAGAAGGCCAUGAGCCUCAGUAUGUGGGCGGCUUCUAGAAGCUGGAAGGGGCAAGGAGAUGGAUUUGACCCUUCAGCCUCCAGGGGCAGCUGUACCUGCCAUCACUGAUUGUAGCCUGGUGAGGCCUGUUUUAGACUUCUGACCUGUAGAGCUGUAACAUAAUACAUUUGGGUUGUUUUCAACCACUAAGUUUGUGGUAAUUUGUUGUAGCAGCUGUAGAAAAUGAAUACAUAUGAAUCCUCUGGCAUUUGUUUGAGAUUUGCUCUAUGGCCUAGUAUGUGGUUGUAAAUGUUCCAUCUGUGCCUGAAAAAAUGUAUAUUUCUAAUUCAGUAGUCUCUGCUUUUUUUUUUUAUUUUGUACCCCAUCAAUAAAAUGAUUUUCAGCAUGUAUCCCCAAAUAAACAAUAUUUUAUUUAUUGAUUGAUUGAUAAACAGACAUGUUUAAUGAUAGCUUGCUUUUCACAGAGGUGACUUCGGAGACUUCUAAUCUAUAAUCCAGGAGUAUAUAACCAUGCAGCACAGACCAAUUAGUCACAUGUAAAAUAAACUAGAUUCUUACCAC